rnacentral:misc_RNA from 1 species
GUGGUUUUUCCUUAAAAGUUACUAGCUCUAUUGGAUACAGAUCAGACGACUUGGCAUUUUCAUCCUUCGAACCUUCAUUAAUAUCUGGAUGGUCAUUGAAAAACCCAUAAACUGAUUGCUUUUUCGGAGAUUCUUCCACACUGCUGUCUGACUUUUCUACAAUGCUGUAUGAUUUUUCUACACUACUAUAUCGAAUCACCAAGACCAUUGCAAGACCAAUAAUAAGUAGGCAUCCAGCCCAUCUCUUCCUUCCCACUUUUCUAAUAAACAAAUACUUCUUCAUUCACACUAUACCUCAGCUUAUACUUAACUAAUGCUCCACCGAAGGUCUCGUGUUCAAGCCCUCGGUAUGAAGUCCCCUUAGUAAAGGAACACUUUACCCCCUAAUGCGAGACUUCUUUGUCGACGUGAAUCAAAAUUAAAGCCCCAAUAUGACACAAAAACACAAAAACUAGUGUUCCACCACAGUGAAUCAAAUCCUUAGUUUUUAACACCCAAGAACUGAAAAACUUGAAUUUUCAGUUUUGC